CCCCUGUGGUAGCUGUAGUAGUUAGCAGUGAAAGCGUAAUCAUAGAACGAGUUGUGAUAGCCAGAAGAGAGUCGCAUAUUGGGCGUAGAACUUGGCCGCCAUCCUGCGGCACGUUAAGAUGUGAUUGAACACCACGGCCGCACUAGAGGGAAAUGCAAAGCUCGUCGUGCCGCCCCGGUAACCCGGCCGCAAUUUUUCUCGGGGCUAGCGCGUAGGCGGGGA
rnacentral:lncRNA from 1 species